UCGGUGACUAUAGUGAUGAGGGUCCACCCGUUCCCAUCCCGAACACGGUAGUUAAGCUCAUUUACGCUGAAAAUACUUAGCGGGCAGCCGCUUGGGAAGAUAGGUCGUUGCCGACA
rnacentral:rRNA from 1 species